AUUCCGGUUGAUCCUGCCGGAGGACAUUGCUAUUGGGAUUCGAUUUAGCCAUGCUAGUCGAACGAGUUCAGACUCGUGGCGAAUAGCUCAGUCACACGUGGCCAAGCUCCCCUUCAGUCAGCGAUACCCUCGGGAAACUGAGGUUAACAGCUGAUACAAAACGCCAGCUGGAAUGCGGCGUUUCAGAAAGACAUCGCUGAAGGAUGCGGCUGCGGCCGAUUAGGUAGACGGUGGGGUAACGGCCCACCAUGCCAGUAAUCGGUACGGGUGAUGAGAGUCAGAGCCCGGAGACGGAAUCUGAGACAAGAUUCCGGGCCCUACGGGGCGCAGCAGGCGCGAAACCUUUACACUGCACGGAAGUGCGAUAGGGGAAUCCCAAGUGCGAGGGCAUAUUAGCCCUCGCUUUUCUCGACUGUAAGGUGGUCGACGAAUAAGAGCUGGGCAAGACCGGUGCCAGCCGCCGCGGUAAUACCGGCAGCUCAAGUGAUGUCCCAUAUUAUUGGGCCUAAAGCGUCCGUAGCU
rnacentral:rRNA from 1 species